rnacentral:lncRNA from 1 species
UAGAUAGACCACACUGGCACCCGAGGAACCCACGAGGAGGAGGAGGAGGAGGAGAAAAAUCGAGUUUCCACAUUUGAAACUGAACCUGGAACAGCCCCAAGAACUUGCCACACCCAGGUCUGCUAAGCACUGUGCUAUGCACUGAUAUGGUUUAAGAAGUCAGAGUGAAACACGUUCUCCCUGCAGGAGUUUACUGGCCACAAACCAAAACACACAUAAAUCUAUCACAAAGCAAAAAAUCUCUAAAACCCAAAGACUAGAGGAGUAUAAGGUUUCAGACUUUGGUUUUAAAAUAAUAGGGGGUUGGGGACAGCAGCCAACACCUGUUGGCAGUCUUCUGCAUGGCCUCACCUGGGAAGGGGAGAAAUGGCUCAGGCAACAAAACAGCUAAUCCUGGGUCAAAGUGACAACCCAAAAAAUGCCACAGACACAAGCAAUGCCCGGUGGAGAGAACUGGAAGCCGGCGUGGACUCAGUGGAGAAGGGCUUUCUGGGGAAGGGAUGCCGGAGGCUUUGUCCCUGCAGGCUCCAGGGAGCAGGAUGGUUUCCACUAUUCAAAUGCCCCACAACCAUUUCUAAACAACCCAGUAGGGUUCAUAGUGUUCUACGGAUGGGGACACAGUGGCUCAGAGGGGUUAAGGAUGUUGCCCAAGGUCACAGAGCUAAAGAAAAUGGCUGGGCUGUCAAUGAAACCAUGCUCUUUCUACCACACCAUGUUACCUGAGGAAUUGCACAAACACGAAAGUGUUCACUUCUGUCCAAGCCACCCAUUUGAUCAAUACGACGCCAGCCUACCAGCCUAUAUGAUGAGUUUCCCUCAUGGGCAAUCCCCAGCCCUCACAGAGCAUAAUGCACUAGACAAGCC